GACGAACGCUGGCGGCGUGCCUAAUACAUGCAAGUCGAACGAGUUGCGGACGGGUGAGUAACGCGUGGUAACCUGCCUCAUAGCGGGGGAUAACUAAUGGAAACGGUAGCUCAUACCGCCUACCAUCGGAUGUGCCCAGAUGGGCUUAGCGGGUGGGUGGGGUAACGGCUAACCUAGGCGACGAUCCCUAGCUGGUCUGAGAGGAUGACCAGCCACACUGGAACUGAGACACGGCCCAGACUCCUACGGGAGGCAGCAGUGGGGAAUAUUGCACAAUGGGCGCAAGCCUGAUGCAGCCAUGCCGCGUGUAUGAAGAAGGCCUUCGGGUUGUAAAGUACUUUCAGCGAGGAGGCGUUACUCGCAGAAGAAGCACCGGCUAACUCCGUGCCAGCAGCCGCGGUAAUAC
rnacentral:rRNA from 1 species